rnacentral:rRNA from 1 species
AUUGAACGCUGGCGGCAUGCCUUACACAUGCAAGUCGAACGGUAACAGGUCUUCGGAUGCUGACGAGUGGCGAACGGGUGAGUAAUACAUCGGAACGUGCUCGAUCGUGGGGGAUAACGGAGCGAAAGCUUUGCUAAUACCGCAUACGAUCUACGGAUGAAAGAAGGGGACCGCAAGGCCUUGCGCGAACGGAGCGGCCGAUGGCAGAUUAGGUAGUUGGUGGGAAAAAAGCUUACCAAGCCGACGAUCUGUAGCUGGUCUGAGAGGACGACCAGCCACACUGGGACUGAGACACGGCCCAGACUCCUACGGGAGGCAGCAGUGGGGAAUUUUGGACAAUGGGCGCAAGCCUGAUCCAGCAAUGCCGCGUGCAGGAUGAAGGCCUUCGGGUUGUAAACUGCUUUUGUACGGAACGAAAAGGCUCUGGUUAAUACCUGGGGCUCAUGACGGUACCGUAAGAAUAAGCACCGGCUAACUACGUGCCAGCAGCCGCAGUAACAC